rnacentral:rRNA from 1 species
CCUACGGGAGGCAGCAGUGGGGAAUAUUGCACAAUGGGCGAAAGCCUGAUGCAGCGACGCCGCGUGAGGGAUGACGGCCUUCGGGUUGUAAACCUCUUUCAGCAGGGACGAAGCGCAAGUGACGGUACCUGCAGAAGAAGCACCGGCUAACUACGUGCCAGCAGCCGCGGUAAUACGUAGGGUGCAAGCGUUGUCCGGAAUUACUGGGCGUAAAGGGUUCGUAGGCGGUUUGUCGCGUCGUUUGUGAAAACCAGCAGCUCAACUACUGGCUUGCAGGCGAUACGGGCAGACUUGAGUACUGCAGGGGAGACUGGAAUUCCUGGUGUAGCGGUGAAAUGCGCAGAUAUCAGGAGGAACACCGGUGGCGAAGGCGGGUCUCUGGGCAGUAACUGACGCUGAGGAACGAAAGCGUGGGUAGCGAACAGGAUUAGAUACCCUGGUAGUCCACGCCGUAAACGGUGGGCGCUAGGUGUGGGUUCCUUCCACGGAAUCCGUGCCGUAGCUAACGCAUUAAGCGCCCCGCCUGGGGAGUACGGCCGCAAGGCUAAAACUCAAAGGAAUUGACGG